CUCGUUUCUCGUCCUUUUGGCUCUGAUCAUGCGUAGUGUCUAUUUUUAUCAAUUUAAUAUCUGAUAGUCUCCAAAUCGGAUACCAUAUAUUAAUUUGAUUUUUGGAAGAAGGAUACGUACAAAGGGCUUGCUUUGUGCUCUACACGCACCAUCCUGGUAUUUCAGUGUGUCCAGGCUUGGUUCAUCUUCC
ensembl:snRNA U2 U2 spliceosomal RNA